GCCUAGUUAGCUUGAAAAUUGGCGCCUUGUAAGCGCUAGGGCGUGGGUUUGAUUCCCACCCGGGGCG
rfam:Asian citrus Psyllid, Diaphorina citri - Florida Strain, whole genome shotgun sequence.